CCUACGGGAGGCAGCAGUGGGGAAUAUUGCACAAUGGGCGGAAGCCUGAUGCAGCGACGCCGCGUGAGGGAUGAAGGCCUUCGGGUUGUAAACCUCUUUCAGCAGGGACGAAGCGUGAGUGACGGUACCUGCAGAAGAAGCACCGGCUAACUACGUGCCAGCAGCCGCGGUAAUACGUAGGGUGCGAGCGUUGUCCGGAAUUACUGGGCGUAAAGAGUUCGUAGGCGGUUUGUCGCGUCGUUUGUGAAAACCCGGGGCUCAACUUCGGGCUUGCAGGCGAUACGGGCAGACUUGAGUGUUUCAGGGGAGACUGGAAUUCCUGGUGUAGCGGUGAAAUGCGCAGAUAUCAGGAGGAACACCGGUGGCGAAGGCGGGUCUCUGGGAAACAACUGACGCUGAGGAACGAAAGCGUGGGUAGCAAACAGGAUUAGAUACCCUGGUAGUCCACGCCGUAAACGGUGGCGCUAGGUGUGGGUUCCUUCCACGGGAUCUGUGCCGUAGCUAACGCAUUAAGCGCCCCGCCUGGGGAGGUACGGCCGCGAGACGUAACUACAAGAAGUAGACGGCGNGAGACGCGCCGACGGACGACGACGAGGGAGUAGG
rnacentral:rRNA from 1 species